AAAAAAUCAGGCAAAAUGUAAACAUAGAUCAACAAGACUUGGAUAUAUCAGGACAGAUGAUGGAUAAGAACUCACAAGUUUCAAAAAACAAAACAAUUGGGAAUAUGUGGACUGAGAGCGGUGAGCAGUUAUUUAUAUUGGCCACAUAAUGAAGAAACACCCAGAAAAAAAGAAACACGGUUGAUGAAAAGACGCUAGAAAGAGUUGAUAGACUAAUCAAUUUUAAAGAUGGAAAGAGGAUAUCCGCACGAAAAGACCAACGAACAUAGUAACU